GUUUCUGUAAUGCUAGGUCAAGACCUACCGACAGGAAGUGCCGUUUGACACUGUUAUCCAGCAGCUGCUUCUCUCAUCUGCAGGUGUCCAUACUGAAACCAUAACCUUUGUGGUUUGGUCUGGGGUGGAGUUCUCAUAUGCAGAUGUUUGAUUCAGAUGUGGUGUGAUUUAAAUUGGCUCUCUUGAGGGAU